rnacentral:rRNA from 1 species
GACGAACGCUGGCGGCGUGCCUAAUACAUGCCAGUCGAGCAAGUCUGCCUUGAAGAUCGGAGUGCUUGCACCCUGUGAAACAAGAUACAGGCUAGCGGCGGACGGGUGAGUAACACGUGGGUAACCUGCCCAAGAGAUCGGGAUAACACCUGGAAACAGAUGCUAAUACCGGAUAACAACAGAUGAUGCCUAUCAACUGUUUAAAAGAUGGUUCUGCUAUCACUCUUGGAUGGACCUGCGGUGCAUUAGCUAGUUGGUAGGGUAACGGCCUACCAAGGCGAUGAUGCAUAGCCGAGUUGAGAGACUGAUCGGCCACAUUGGAACUGAGACACGGCCCAAACUCCUACGGGAGGCAGCAGUAGGGAAUCUUCCACAAUGGACGCAAGUCUGAUGGAGCAACGCCGCGUGAGUGAAGAAGGGUUUCGGCUCGUAAAGCUCUGUUGUUGGUGAAGAAGGACAGGGGUAGUAACUGACCUUUGUUUGACGGUAAUCAAUCAGAAAGUCACGGCUAACUACGUG